rnacentral:rRNA from 1 species
AUGCAUGUCUAAGCAUAAGCCGAAUAUGGUUAAGCCGCGAAUGGCUCAUUACAACAGCCAUAGUUUAUUGGAUCUUAACGUCCUACUUGGAUAACUGUAGUAAUUCUAGAGCUAAUACACGCAAAUUAUCCCUAACCUUACGGAAAGGGAGCAUUUAUUAGAACAAAACCAAUCGGCUUCGGCCGUUAUUGGUGAAUCUGAAUAACUACGCUGAUCGCACGGUCUCGUACCGGCGACGUAUCCUUCAAGUGUCUGCCUUAUCAACUGUCGAUGGUAGUUUACAUGACUACCAUGGUUGUAACGGGUAACGGAGAAUAAGGGUUCGACUCCGGAGAGGGAGCCUGAGAAACGGCUACCACAUCCAAGGAAGGCAGCAGGCGCGCAAAUUACCCACUCUCAGAACGAGGAGGUAGUGACGAAAAAUAACGAGACAGUCCUCUAUGAGGUCUGUCAUCGGAAUGGGUACAAUUUAAAUCCUUUAACGAGGAUCUAUUGGAGGGCAAGUCUGGUGCCAGCAGCCGCGGUAAUUCCAGCUCCAAUAGCGUAUAUUAAAGUUGUUGCGGUUAAAAAGCUCGUAGUUGGAUCUGCGGUCGUCGACACUGGUUCUCUUCUUGAGAUACUAGCUGUCGCGACCUACCUUGUUAGAUGUCUCUUGGUGCUCUUCACUGAGUGUCUUGAGCGUCUAGCUCGUUUACUUUGAAAAAAUUAGAGUGCUUAACGCAGGCAUUAGCCUGAAUAGUGGUGCAUGGAAUAAUGGAAUAGGACCUCGGUUCUAUUUUGUUGGUUUUCGGAGCAUGAGGUAAUGAUUAAGAGGGACAGACGGGGGCAUUCGUACUGCUACGUUAGAGGUGAAAUUCUUGGAUCGUAGCAUGACGAACAACUGCGAAAGCAUUUGCCAAGAAUGUUUUCAUUAAUCAAGAACGAUAGUUAGAG